rnacentral:tRNA from 1 species
GCGGGAAUGGCGAAAUUGGCAGACGCACCAGACUUAGGAUCUGGCGCCGCAAGGCAUGGAGGUUCAAGUCCUCUUUCCCGCACCA